UGUCUAUUAAUUGUAGACUCGUAUGAAUGGCAAAAUGAGAGCCCGACUGUCUCUUAUAACAAAUCAAUUAAACUGAUCUCUCAGUACAAAAGCUGAGAUUCUCACAUAAGACCAGAAGACCCUGUGAAGCUUUAACUAAACUAUUAAACCCCUUAAUAACUAUUUUCGGUUGGGGCGACCUUGGAACAAAAAAGAACUUCCAAAUACAUGACCUUCUCACACCAAGGCAAACAAGCCACAUUUAGACCCAGAACUUUCUGAUAAAUGAACCAAGUUACUCCAGGGAUAACAGCGCUAUCUUCUUCAAGAGCCCAUAUCAAAAAGAAGGUUUACGACCUCGAUGUUGGAUCAGGACAUCCUAGCAAUGCAACCGUUACUAAGGGUUCGUUUGUUCAACGAUUAAUAGU
rnacentral:rRNA from 1 species